AUGUUAACAACUUGGAGGAUACAUUGGUUGCUUCACGUUAGACCCGGAAAGAAGACCGCCGGUAAUGAUUAUGAAGCAGAGUCGCAUAGUAAUGGACCCGUGAACAGAUGUGAGGACGAGUAUUUCAAAAAAUCAAAGACUUACAUUCCUCUAAACAAGCAAAAUAAUCACUGGAUUACUGUCGUCAUGCAUAGCGGAAAAAGAGAGUUUCAGGUUCUUGACUCGUUGAUGACCGGAAAACUUGACACUGUUACUAGAGAACUCGUUGAGGACCUGAGAAAACAACUAGCAGAAGAUAUCCAAGAAGCAAAUGCAACCGGAAUUGUGAAUUAUCCGGAUGUUUCCAAGUGGCCUAUUCAAACGUAUGACAUGCCAAAACAACAUGAUGGGAAUUCGUGUGGACUAUUUCUCCUUCGAUGCUUUCAAAAUUGGGAUGGUG